UACAGAGGUCCCAAGCGUUGUUCGGAUUCACUGGGCGUAAAGGGUGCGUAGGCGGUCGGGUAAGUCUGAUGUGAAAUCUCACAGCUUAACUGUGAAACUGCAUUGGAUACUAUCCGGCUAGAGGAAUGGAGGGGAGACUGGAAUACUUGGUGUAGCAGUGAAGUGCGUAGAUAUCAAGUGGAACACCAGUGGCGAAGGCGAGUCUCUGGACAUUUCCUGACGCUGAGGCACGAAAGCCAGGGGAGCAAACGGG
rnacentral:rRNA from 1 species